AGAGGUCUCUUUACUUUUGAAAGAAAAUAGCGGGAAAAUAAAAUGAGGCGUGACAACAUGGCGUCGAUAAUUUAUCUUAAAUAUUCAAAUUCUCUAAAUGCAACAUAAGUAAUUAAUUUCUUUUAUUCGAUAAUUAAUUAAUUGUUGAAUGACUUACCUGAACCUAGAAAAUGCAGUAUAUACUUGAUACGAAGACAAUUGUUUCUGGCAUACAAACUUUAGGGCAGUUUCGUUAGAUCUGCACUUGAUUUGUUGUACAGUUCUAUCCGAAUUUACACAUCCACAAGUUCCUGCUAAUUGUACACUUUUAGGAAAAUCUGGAUUCCAAAGUUUAAAGCCGUCUGAAGUUUUAGUGCUUCCAUCACUAAAGGUUAAAGUUUCUCCAUCGUAAGUGAACCCUGCCCAGAUCUUUUCUCCAAGAUGUCUAUACCUGUCUAUCUCUCUUUGUAACCAAGAAAAAGUAUCUUCAUCAGGAACAGGAGCUAUACUACCAUUAUAAUAUUUACUUUGACAUAUUUGUUCGGCUUCAACAUAAGUUUUCCUCUUCUUCACUUCAAAGAAGCAAGUACUACAAGUUGCUCCUAAUAGAAAUCCAUUAAUUAGGUUCUAAAUUUUUAUUUUUAUACAUAAAUUUAACUUAUUUUUCAAUAUUUUAAAAUAAUUAUAAAUAUUUUUACAUUAAAUCUUAAACAGCAACACACUCAAGGCAACUUAAUAUAGAAGUACUGUACAUAGCUAACUUAAAAUUGCUUAUAAAAGCAAAAAUAAUUAGAAUAAUUUUUAAAAUAAGAGAAAUAUGUAAACAAAAUAUGAUAUUUUAUACGUUUUUAAUGAUUUUUUUUAAUUAAGAGUCUAACUUACCUUUGUUAAAAACAUUGCACAGAAUUAGAGUGACUGUAACCCCACGCAAUGUGGACUUCUCCAUUUUAAAAUAACCUUUAAAAAUA